GGGUCCUAUAUUAAACUAAGUCCCAGGCUAGUGGCCAUUUCAGAUGAUAAAUCAGCUAAAAAGUAACAACACUUGGUCAGCACCUUGGUCAUGCUAUGUUUGGUUUCAUUUCAUUCAGUGGUUCUCUAACAGAAGACAUUUGUAUGUAUAUACAAUAGGGUCUUAUGUUAAACUGAGUCCCCCUCUGGCAGCCAUCUUUUACGAUUGUGUUUUAUAAAGAGUAGAUAAUAUGGUAAAUUAAUUUGCAUAUAAUUGUGCCUUUUAGUGAUGACCUUAUUUUCUAUGACUUUUUUUAAACAAAUAUUAAAGUGUCUUUCGAAAUAAAACAUUUUUAUAAUAAAGUCUUGAGUUUCUUUACAGAGUAUUCCACCCUCCUCUAAUCCGAUUCUCUCUUAUUGGUUGAAGUUAACAUAACUUACCUUCACAAUUACGGAGUUAUACGUCUCCUGCCACUUCAAUUGCCGUCCCCUUUCCACAAUCAACUCUUUUUAUGUAUGGAGGAAUCUUCACGCACAUUCUAGGAAAAUUGCACUUUAAAAAAGUUGACGAUAGUUUUGUGCACCGUGUAUGAGACAGGGUGCACAAACUCUCAGUGUUUAAAACUAUAAUUCCAAUAAAGACAGUAAAAAAGAAAAAAAAUGCGUGCAGUUUACAUUACGGUAACUUGAUCUGAUAUGAGUAGCGCGGGGUCAUCAUCUCUAAGGAUUUGAGAAAAAAAGUUCGAACAUAACCACCCGCUCUUUGGAUAAAAGAAAGAGGGAGGUGAGAGAGGGGGAUUCUGAUAUUAUGAUUUUUU
rnacentral:lncRNA from 1 species